AUACUUACCUGUUAGGGGAGACACCAUGAUCAUGAAGGUGGUUAACCCAGAACGAAGCUCUGCCAUUGCACCCCUGCUGUUCUGACCUUUGCGAAUUCCCCAAAUGUGGGAAUCUCGACUGCAUUAUUUGUGUUAGUGGGGACUGCGCUCGCGCUCUCCUCU